GGCUCUAUGGUCUAGUCGUAUGAUUCUCGCUUUGGGUGCGAGAGGUCUCGGGUUCAAUUCCCGAUGGAGCCC